GGUUGGGGAUACCUCAACUUGGGGGUGCUCUGUCCUCUCCCACCCCCUCUGUUCCCCACAGGGCAGUGGCUGGUGGCAGGUUACUGUGGUGGUGCUGUGCAGGCACCAUGGAUGCUGCUUCUCCAGGAAGAACCCCAUCACUGGCUCACCUCCACCACAAACAGGCAGUGGGGAAUGAAGCUGUUGCAGGAGGAGCUGGACAGGAUGGAGAUGAGCUGCCUGCAAGAGCCAAGCCUGGCGCAGCCCUCAGCCAUGGCAGGGGACCUCCCCAGCACAGCAGGACACACAUCACCCCCCAUGGGGGCUGGAGUUCAAAGCUGAGCUCAC